rnacentral:tRNA from 1 species
GGGCCGGUAGCUCAGUCUGGCAGAGCGACGGGCUCUUAACCCGUCGGUCGCGUGUUCAAAUCGCGCCCGGCCCG